rnacentral:rRNA from 1 species
GACGAACCGUCCAAACGUUACUCGGAAUUACUGGGCUUAAAGGGUGCGUAGGCUGCGCAGAAAGUUGGGUGUGAAAUCCCUCGGCUCAACCGGGGAAUUGCAUCCAAAACUACUGUGCUCGAGGGAGACAGAGGUAAGCGGAACUCAAGGUGGAGCGGUGAAAUGCGUUGAUAUCUUGAGGAACACCGGUGGCGAAAGCGGCUUACUGGGUCUCUUCUGACGCUGAGGCACGAAAGCUAAGGUAGCAAACGGG